CCGCCCACCUUCAUUGCAAGAAUCUUAAAAAUAGUAGGUCUAUCUUGUUGUUGUCUGUAAAAAUAAAAUGAAAAAGUUAUUUUAUUGCCAUCUCUCAAUUGCCAUGUCGUCUGUAUCGGUUUGCUGUUGCAAUAAAUAGUUGUAUUAGAUACAUUUAUCCGUGUAUGACAAGCAGUAUUAUUGUAACCUGUGUGACAUUUAGGUGUUCAUUGUUAAUAUAUGGAAUGUGUGUAUGUAUUUGUACGCACACUGCAUGUCGUAGUAUGGCCUAGCACAUUGUCUUAGAAAAUACAUAUAAUAUUUAAAACUAUUUUCAUUUCAUAUAACGGGACACCUCACCUAACAAGCAAAAUUCCCGGAGAUAGAGGAACCUCAGCUAUGAAGAGUUGGCGGCCAACACUGGCAGAGGAACAGAUGCCAUGGCCAUGCUGCUGUGCAGAGACAUCUGGAGCUGAAUCCGCUGCCUGGUAUUCUGAAUCCAUCCGUAUUCAAUGUCACCAGUGUGAUAGUUGUAACAUGACAUUGCUAAAUAGUUCUGAGGAGUGAGGAUAGUACAAGUUGUUUUGCUCGGUUCUCCUGCCUGUCUACUUCCUGGUCCAACAGACCAGGGUCUUCAGGUUCCUCUUUUUAGGCCCCCGGGAACACGCAUGUAUUCACAAAUACCUUAUCAGAAACACACAGCCUUCGCGCUCACAACCACCGACUGAUCCAGAACAGAUCUCUUGCUGUCCCAUUGUCAAUAAAGCCUUGCUCUUCUGAAUGAUCUAAUUUGUCAUUUUACAUUCUUUACAUGUUUUGCUGUUUCCCCUGGUAGACAAAUGCUGAUAAUUCCUCCCCAUUCUGGGUUUCUUGUCAGUUUAUUUCUCUUCUGUGGACCCUGGUGAAAACUACUGCACAGGAAAUAGGGGGCCAUUAUAGACCUGCACU